CUGUGCUCCCCGUGCCCCCCGGUGCCCCCCUGACCCCUGCGAACCCCCCCGUCCCGCAGCGGGGGUCUCAGUAACCUGCUGUACAAGUGCGCGCUGCCCGAGCACAUCCUGAGCGUGGGGGACGAGCCCCGGCAGGUGCUGCUGCGAGUCUACGGGGUCAUCCUGCAGGGCGUGGACUCCCUGGUGCUGGAGAGCGUCAUGUUCGCCAUCCUGGCCGAGCGCGCGCUGGGCCCGCGGCUCUACGGGGUGUUCCCGCAGGGCCGGCUGGAGCAGUACAUCCCGAGCCGGCGGCUGCGCACCGAGGACCUGCGGGACCCCGACGUGUCCGGGGAGAUUGCGGUGAAGAUGUCCCGGUUCCACGGGAUGGUGAUGCCCUUCAACAAGGAGCCCAAGUGGCUCUUUGGGACCAUGGAAAAGUGAGGGCGGGGCCCCCGAAGUCCCAACGAGAUCGUGGAGUGUGAGGGGUGACCCUCAGAUCCCGCUGGGAUCAUGGGGUGGUGAAGGGUAGAGGGGGCCCCAAAUCCCACCGGGACCAGGGAGGGGUGGGGGGAGGCCAAACCCCACCACGACCAUGGGGGAAUAUGAGGGAGAGACCCCUAAAUCCCACUGGGACCAUGGAGUGGUGAGGGGGGUUCCCAAAUCCCACUGGUACCAUGGAGUGGUGAGGGGGAGCCCCAAAUCCCACCAGUACCAGGGGGUGGGGAGAGGGAGCCCUAAAUCCCACAGACCCCA